GCCUGCAAGUGAACUUCCCAGUGGAAGUAGAUGUGAUGAAUGAGGUCAUCUUGGCCCGCGUGGGUUAUCAGGCCCGCCUCGUAUGCGUUGUGCAGGGACAGCCCAUCAAUGGCGCAUACUGGGCGGACAAGAACGGCAUCCGGAUAGAAAAUUCAUGGCAAUACAAAGUCACUACUGAGCAAGAGGAAGGUAUUCCUGUGGUAUUCAUAACCGCAACCUUCAAUGUUGGUACUCUGGGAAAACACGACUUUGGAAAUUACACAUGUGUCGGAGCCGGGAACAGCGGUGAAGCUACGAAAGUUACCCAACUGGUUGAGGUAUAAGUAAAGACAGCCAGUGGCGUAAUAAACUACAAUUUAAAGAGGAAAUAUUUCAAAUUCACGUGUGAAUAGUGUUCGUCUACUUUAUUGACAUGAACGAAAAAAAAACAACCGUAGACUAUUGGAAAUGUACUGAAACACCAAUACAAGUAAUAAUUAAAAAAAAACUGAAAUAUAAUUUAUGAUUUCUAUGUAAUAAUGUAUAGUGUUUAUGAUCAUGUUGAUUUAUAAAUAGGGAUAUUGACACAAUCAUGUAACCGGACACAUUUUUAAAUCAAUGUUAAGAUGAUUUUUUUUAUAUAAGAUUUUAAGAGACAGCACAUCUAUGAACAAAUAUGACAUUUAAGUUUAGUUUAACAUUUUAAAGAUUUCCACUUUAUCGUUUAAUUAACCGUUUACAAUUAGAAUAAUGCCGUUUAAUUUUUGUAACGUGUUGCAUCCUUACUUGUAAAACAUGACCUUGUUAAAUUUAUUGUAUUCUCUGUUUCAACACUUUUCUAAAUAAUUUUCUUUUCUGCUUACCGCUUUCUUCUUUCAUGAUUAUUGUGGUGUAUAAAAACGACAUGCCAUCUUGUGCAAAUGUAUAAAGAAUUAACUAAAAUAAAAGUUGUUAAGCAAUAAA